UUGUUAAGCGUACAUGGAGAGUGUGUUGG
rnacentral:piRNA from 1 species